rnacentral:misc_RNA from 1 species
AACGCACCUUGCGCUCCUUGGUAUUCCGAGGAGCAUGCCUGUUUGAGUGUCAUUAAAUUCUCAACCUCUCUAGUUUUUUGACUAGUAGAUGGCUUGGAUUUGGGAGUAAUUUUGCAGGCUUUCACAAGUCAGCUCUCCUUAAAUAUAUUAGCCGGUGUUUUCUAACCGUCUAUUAGUGUGAUAAUUAUCUACGCUGUGGACUAUUAGAUUUUGCGCUGCUUAUAACCGUCCUCUGGACAAUAUGUGACAUUUUGACCUCAAAUCAGGUAGGACUACCCGCUGAACUUAA